UGGAUCCAGACUUUGAUCCUGGCUCAGGACGAACGCUGGCGGCACGCUUAACACAUGCAAGUCGAACGGAGGAUUUUUGAUUUAUUGAGAAUCCUUAGUGGCGGACGGGUGAGUAACACGUGAGCAACCUGCCUUUGAGAGAGGGAUAGCUUCUGGAAACGGAUGGUAAUACCUCAUGACAUACAGAUAUCGCAUGGUAACUGUAUCAAAGAUUUAUCACUCAAAGAUGGGCUCGCGUCUGAUUAGGUAGUUGGUGAGGUAACGGCUCACCAAGUCGACGAUCAGUAGCCGGACUGAGAGGUUGAACGGCCACAUUGGGACUGAGACACGGCCCAGACUCCUACGGGAGGCAGCAGUGGGGAAUAUUGCACAAUGGGGGAAACCCUGAUGCAGCGAUGCCGCGUGGAGGAAGAAGGUUUUCGGAUUGUAAACUCCUGUCUUAAAGGACGAUAAUGACGGUACUUUAGGAGGAAGCUCCGGCUAACUACGUGCCAGCAGCCGCGGUAAUACGUAGGGAGCGAGCGUUGUCCGGAAUUACUGGGUGUAAAGGGAGCGUAGGCGGGAUUGCAAGUCAGAUGUGAAAUGCAGAGGCUAAACCUCUGAGCUGCAUUUGAAACUGUAGUUCUUGAGUGAAGUAGAGGUAAGCGGAAUUCCUGGUGUAGCGGUGAAAUGCGUAGAUAUCAGGAGGAACACCGGUGGCGAAGGCGGCUUACUGGGCUUUUACUGACGCUGAGGCUCGAAAGCGUGGGUAGCAAACAGGAUUAGAUACCCUGGUAGUCCACGCCGUAAACGAUGAUUACUAGGUGUGGGGGGACUGACCCCUUCCGUGCCGCAGUUAACACAAUAAGUAAUCCACCUGGGGAGUACGGCCGCAAGGUUGCAACUCAAAUGAAUUGACGGA
rnacentral:rRNA from 1 species